rnacentral:lncRNA from 1 species
CUCUGGCCCCUUCCCCUGCCACCCGACUCAAUAGCCAGGCCCUGCCCCCAGCUGACCUCCGUUUGCUGGCCCUCAGCCCCAGGGACCCCUGCCCAAUGGUCUUUACCUGUCACCAGGCCCAUCUGGCCCUCAGAGUUGGAUGUGGAGGAGAAGAAGGGACACCUUGGCCUGGACUCGGAGGCCUACAAUGCGUCUUGGCCCACUCUUCCUCCUCCCUUCUCUGCCUGCCUGGGGCAGCCGGGCCUCACCUGGGCCCCGCCUGCCCUGCGCACAGGUGUGUCCUCCUGCCAUAGGCUGCCCCCCCUCGCCCUCUUAACCCCUUCCCUCCCGGCACCAGCCACGGGCACCUCCAGUGCUUCCCACCCUCUCCAAACCACCUUGCUUCUCCUACCUGCCUGUUCUCGUUUCCAGAGGAACAAACAGAACUGCUCUCCGGUCCACACAGCAGGACCAGCCUGGUCCAGCGGACCCUGCCCAAAGCUGGAGCAGGAGGACAGAAUCUCCGAGCAAGGCAAUGGGACAAGGGCAGCUUGGAGACACGUGGCUCAGGGAGCACCAGGUUGGAAGCCGGAGCAGUGCGGCUGCAGGACCUCUCCCUCCUUCCACACCCCCUGCCACCACUCCAGACAAACAGACCAUGGUGACCUAGGCCUGCCCGUAGCUGGGCCCAACAGCUCAAGUGGAAAACAGCUAAGCCAAAGCCAGAGGGAGGAUGCUAAGCAGAAGACCCCAGGCUGAUCCAAGGAGAGCAGAGCCAGGGGGAGCACCCCAGGCUCAGCAGCUGCACCUUCCACACCUCCCGACACCUGCUGGACACCUGGCUGUGUCUCUGUCACAGUUUGAGCAGGAGACAGAGUUCACUGCCAUUCCACAAUAAAAAACAAAAAAGCAACCAAUAGUCCCAUCCCGCAAUAAAAAACAAAGAAGACCCCAAUAUUGCAUGAUAUCUAUGCGUGACCUUCAUAAAAAUAAAUAAAUUGACC